AUUGCAGUUUUAUAAUAGCAGAAUAAAUAUGGCUAUGUAAUAUGAACAAUGUAUGAACAACAUGUAAAGAUAUGUGCAACGUAGUAGCAGUGGCAUUAUACUAGUAGUACGACUAAUACAGAUAUAUGCAGUCUAU